UCUCCGUAGGUGAACCUGCGGAGGGAUCAUUACAGAGUUCAUGCCCUCACGGGUAGAUCUCCCACCCUGUGCUAUUAUACUUUGUUGCUUUGGCAGGCCGCCCGCGUGGGCUACUGGCUCCAGCUGGUAAGUGCCUGCCAGAGGACCCCAAACUCUGAAUAUUUUAUUGUCUGAGUACUAUAUAAUAGUUUAAAACUUUCAACAACGGAUCUCUUGGUUCUG
rnacentral:misc_RNA from 1 species